rnacentral:rRNA from 1 species
CCGAAAGAAAAAGAGUGGCGAACGGGUGAGUAACACGUGGGUAACCUGCCCAUCAGAAGGGGAUAACACUUGGAAACAGGUGCUAAUACCGUAUAACACUAUUUUCCGCAUGGAAGAAAGUUGAAAGGCGCUUUUGCGUCACUGAUGGAUGGACCCGCGGUGCAUUAGCUAGUUGGUGAGGUAACGGCUCACCAAGGCAACGAUGCAUAGCCGACCUGAGAGGGUGAUCGGCCACACUGGGACUGAGACACGGCCCAGACUCCUACGGGAGGCAGCAGUAGGGAAUCUUCGGCAAUGGACGAAAGUCUGACCGAGCAACGCCGCGUGAGUGAAGAAGGUUUUCGGAUCGUAAAACUCUGUUGUUAGAGAAGAACAAGGAUGAGAGUAAAACGUUCAUCCCUUGACGGUAUCUAACCAGAAAGCCACGGCUAACUACGUGCCAGCAGCCGCGGUAAUACGUAGGUGGCAAGCGUUGUCCGGAUUUAUUGGGCGUAAAGCGAGCGCAGGCGGUUUCUUAAGUCUGAUGUGAAAGCCCCCGGCUCAACCGGGGAGGGUCAUUGGAAACUGGGAGACUUGAGUGCAGAAGAGGAGAGUGGAAUUCCAUGUGUAGCGGUGAAAUGCGUAGAUAUAUGGAGGAACACCAGUGGCGAAGGCGGCUCUCUGGUCUGUAACUGACGCUGAGGCUCGAAAGCGUGGGGAGCGAACAGGAUUAGAUACCCUGGUAGUCCACGCCGUAAACGAUGAGUGCUAAGUGUUGGAGGGUUUCCGCCCUUCAGUGCUGCAGCAAACGCAUUAAGCACUCCGCCUGGGGAGUACGACCGCAAGGUUGAAACUCAAAGGAAUUGACGGGGGCCCGCACAAGCGGUGGAGCAUGUGGGUUUAAUUC